GCAUCAAUGGGGUAGUGGUAACCUGGGUCGUUGCCAUGGAUGGAUGAUAAUGGUCUCGACCCGCCGGGGGUUCGAUUCCCCCUUGAUGCA